UGCCAGAACCCACCUACAGCCCUGCUCUCUUCCUUCCCCAGAUCCAGAUUCUUCUGCCUCCUGCCUGGAGUUGGAGSGAGAGGAGCAGGAAGCCCUGGAGUAUCUGCAGGCCUUUUCCCACAAGCCCUUAACAGGACGAGGCGCAGAAGCUGAGGUUUCUGGCCUCCAUCCACACCCUCUGCGGAGCCAAGGUGAUGGGCAGCUACCUGGCUGAUUUCUGCGAGCUGGCGGAGAAGAUGGAGGUGCUGCUGGAAGAAGAGUCCCCUGACCGCCUGGACUCUGCGGUGCGGCAGCAAGCCAU
rnacentral:lncRNA from 1 species